rnacentral:lncRNA from 1 species
CAAAAAAAUCAAAAACAAGUUUGAGUAAUAAAAGUUUCUCUUCUCCAAAAUCUUUCUACUCUUCCAAAAUUCCCUUAGCCUAAAAGCCUCCAUCCAAAUAUUAAUAGCAAUCCUCUUCCAACAAAGUGGCAUCAGAGCCACAAGAUUCUAACAAAAAAAAAAUUUCUAAGAUCAUAGCAAAUGGUGUUGCAUCCUUCCAAGUUCCUAUGCUCAACAAGAGCAACUAUGAUAAUUGGAGUAUCAAGUGAAGGCUCUCCUAGGUGCAUAUGAUUUUUGAGAUAUUGUAGAGAAAGGCUACAAUGAGCCCCAAGAUGAAUCUACAUUAUCCCAAACUCAAAAGGAUGGUUUGAAGGAUUCAAGAAAGAGAGACAAGAAAGCUCUCUACCUCAUCUACACAUGAUGUUUGGGAUAUUGUAGAGAAAGGCUACAAUAAGCCCCGAGAUGAAUCUACAUUAUCCCAAACUCAAAAGGAUGUUUUGAAGGAUUCAAGAAAGAGAGACAAGAAAGCUCUCUACCUCAUCUACCAAGCAUUGGAUGAUGAUGGGUUCGAGAAGAUCUCAAGUGCAACCACUGGUAAGGAAGCAUGGGAGAAACUCCAAACGUCUUGCAAAGGUGUCGAGCAAGUAAAGAAUGUAAACAUUAAGAGGAGAAUUUGAGUCUUUACAUAUGAAA